rnacentral:rRNA from 1 species
UACGAGGGGGGCGAGCGUUGUUCGGAAUCACUGGGCGUAAAGAGUGCGUAGGCGGUUGUGUAAGUUAGGAGUGAAAGCCCCAGGCUUAACUUGGGAAUUGCUCUUAAAAACUACACAACUAGAAUUCGGGAGAGGAUAGCGGAAUUCUCAGUGUAGCAGUGAAAUGCGUAGAUAUCUGGAGGAACACCGGUGGCGAAGGCGGCAUCCUGGACCGACACUGACGCUGAGGAGCGAAAGCCAGGGGAGCAAACGGG